UUAAUUAUUCCCAACGCUGACACAGCUCUCCGGUCGCCACUGCUACAAAUCUCAACUACUUCUCAAUGAAUAUUAAAUUUACUACAGUGACUACGUGAAUAUGUUAGAUCGUUUGAGUUAUUGUUUGGCUGAUUUGUGACCUCUGGCUAUAUGGUUGCCUCUGCUACAUCGGUCUCUAAAUUGCAGCAGUGGUGAUGUCGUACUUUGUGAUUUUUUUUACAGUUCCACAUUCAAGAACUAUCUUUUUAGCCUUAUGGUAAAAACUCUACCAUAAAAAUGAGACUGUGUCUAGGAACUCACACUUGCAUAUUGUAUUUUAUCUAGUAUAUUAAACAUACUAUGUGAACAGAGUACAUUCAGGUGGAUGGUGGUUUGGCCUGGAACUGGAUCAGUAUCACCAGGUACGUUGUCACCGCUCCAGCCAUCUGUACAGACAGAACACGCUGUCAGUCUACAUUCUAUAUCAAGUUUGGAGCUACAUCAUAUAUGAGAUAUAGAUAGUAUAGUAUUCAGGAUUGUUAUUAUAGUAUACACAAUAUAAUUAAACUGGACAGUUUUCAUACAAAAGUAAAUAUCUACCGCUGUGAGGGUUUCGUUAUGGAUCGGAAAAUAUCCAAGAGCAGAGAAUCUUACGUUGUGAUGAGGAAACUGCAGGAGAAACCCUUCCAGCUGGAAAAAGACCCCAAAGAUUUUAACCAAUUUAUUGUAACAUUUUUUAUGCAUUUAAUUUUAUAUCUUAAGGGUGCAAAGGGGUUUAAUCUGCAACUGGCGAUCAGUAUGUGAGACUUUUGUAUUGUCCAUUAAAUCAAAAUAGUCAAUUUAACUGUGAAUAUAUGCUAUAUAAUUAAUAAUUGCUUUCUCUUUGUCUCUCUGUAACUCUGUUUUUAGAAUCAACAUGUUGUAU
rnacentral:lncRNA from 1 species